UCUCCUGGAAAACGGGUGGUAAUGCCGGAUGCUCCAUCACACCGCAUGGUGUGUUGGGAAAGCCUUUGCGGCAUGGGAUGGGGUCGCGUCCUAUCAGCUUGAUGGCGGGGUAACGGCCCACCAUGGCUUCGACGGGUAGCCGGCCUGAGAGGGCGACCGGCCACAUUGGGACUGAGAUACGGCCCAGACUCCUACGGGAGGCAGCAGUGGGGAAUAUUGCACAAUGGGCGCAAGCCUGAUGCAGCGACGCCGCGUGAGGGAUGGAGGCCUUCGGGUUGUAAACCUCUUUUGUUAGGGAGCAAGGCACUUUGUGUUGAGUGUACCUUUCGAAUAAGCACCGGCUAACUACGUGCCAGCAGCCGCGGUAAUACGUAGGGUGCAAGCGUUAUCCGGAAUUAUUGGGCGUAAAGGGCUCGUAGGCGGUUCGUCGCGUCCGGUGUGAAAGUCCAUCGCUUAACGGUGGAUCCGCGCCGGGUACGGGCGGGCUUGAGUGCGGUAGGGGAGACUGGAAUUCCCGGUGUAACGGUGGAAUGUGUAGAUAUCGGGAAGAACACCA
rnacentral:rRNA from 1 species